rnacentral:rRNA from 1 species
UUUGGGUAACGUGGAGGUGAUAGGCUUUGCCUGCUAUCUCUUACCCAUGUCUUUUAAGUACCUUACGUUUCCUCGGCGGGUCCGCCCGCCGAUUGGACAAUUUAAACCAUUUGCAGUUGCAAUCAGCGUCUGAAAAAACUUAAUAGUUACAACUUUCAACAACGGAUCUCUUGGUUCUGGCAUCGAUGAAGAACGCAGCGAAAUGCGAUAAGUAGUGUGAAUUGCAGAAUUCAGUGAAUCAUCGAAUCUUUGAACGCACAUUGCGCCCCUUGGUAUUCCAUGGGGCAUGCCUGUUCGAGCGUCAUUUGUACCUUCAAGCUCUGCUUGGUGUUGGGUGUUUGUCUCGCCUCUGCGUGUAGACUCGCCUCAAAACAAUUGGCAGCCGGCGUAUUGAUUUCGGAGCGCAGUACAUCUCGCGCUUUGCACUCAUAACGACGACGUCCAAAAGUACAUUUUUACACUCUUGACCUCGGAUCAGGUAGGGAUACCCGCUGAACUUAAGCAUAUCAAUAAGCGGAGGAA